ACUAUAUCCCAGCAAUCAUUGCGCCAAAAAGCAGGAAGUGCUUUCUCUUGCAGAUUCGGGGAAAUUAGCCACCAGGUUUUGGUGGUCCAAGCCCUGGAUGACAGUCACACCAGGUUUUGUAACAACAAGAUCUGUGGUAGCUGCAUGUCUGUAAUCGUCUUCCGACGUAUGUUUGUGGCAUCCCUGACGAGGUGAACAGGAAGACAGAGGACUGAGCUGAGGGAGGAAGCUGCCGUGGGGCCUCUGCGUCUGCCUCAGCAUGACUGAGUUCUGGGUCUGUUUCAGCUGCUGCAUCGCAGAGCAGCCACAGCCAAAGAGACGGCGACGAAUAGAUCGCUCCAUGAUUGGGGAGCCGACAAACUUUGUUCACACCACACAUGUAGGCUCAGGGGAGAUGGGGUUGGGAGUGUCAUCGGUGGAUACUGUUCAGGCCCAGAUGAAAUCUAAGGGUGGCUAUGGACAUGGGGGUUCUGAAGGCUCUCAAUUAUAACAAGAACAAUUUGGAAAUCCAACUACUGAUGUCAAUUUGAAGAGGCGUUUUAUAAUGCAGUUUCACCUGAAACGGACACAGGACCUAAGUAUGAUACCACUGCUCUUCCAGGAAAUUGUAUAUAAUUUAAUUGUUAUUAAAGCACUGCUAUUCAUUGUCUGCCAUGCUGUUGCACUGCAAGAGUAGAUUGGGAUGGGUUAGUAGAUCAAUUUCUUAGUCAUUGAAUGCUUGUGCGUAUGAUGAAAAAUGUUCAGGCGUGUUUGCUGUUUUUUAGACCUCGUGGAUGCCUGUAUUUAUUAUGUGAUUUGUGGAAACAUGACCGUGUGGCUGGGCCACACUGGAGAUCUCAAGAUAUGAGUCAUAGUAGAGAAAUAUCUGGUUCUUACCCAAAUCUCAAAGGCUCAUAAAAUGAUUUAAAGUAUUUAGGCAACAAGUCAAUGUUCUAUGUUUCGUUCUAAAAUCAACUCUGAUUCAGGAGACUAUUUUUAAGUAAAUAAUGCUGUUUUCUAAAUGAACUUGAAACGUGUAGGGCACACUGGACCAUUGAUUCUUUUACACUCCUGAAGCAUACCUUUGCUUUGAUUUCAAUAUGUAUUUUUAUACCGUUUUUUCCUUGUUAGAAUCUUAAUAAAAUACUUAAUGAACGUUU